GGUGGCUCAGUGGUAGAGUGCUUGCCUAGCAUGCAUGAAGCCCUGAGUUCAACUCCUCAGUACCA
rnacentral:tRNA from 1 species